UCCCUGGAGGACUAGUGUUUAGGCCAUGGCGCACUUACUGCCGCGGCCUGGGUUCGAUUCCCGGCCAGGGAA
rnacentral:tRNA from 1 species